rnacentral:rRNA from 1 species
GGGUUGUGAGGUUAAGUGACUAAGCGUACACGGUGGAUGCCUAGGCAGUCAGAGGCGAUGAAGGGCGUGCUAAUCUGCGAAAAGCGUCGGUAAGGUGAUAUGAACCGUUACAACCGGCGAUACCCGAAUGGGGAAACCCAGUGUGUUUCGACACACUAUCAUGUCAUGAAUACAUAGUGGCAUGAGGCGAACCGGGGGAACUGAAACAUCUAAGUACCCCGAGGAAAAGAAAUCAACCGAGAUUCCCCCAGUAGCGGCGAGCGAACGGGGAGGAGCCCAGAACCUGAAUCGGCUUGUGUGUUAGUGGAAGCGUCUGGAAAGUCGCGCAGCAAAGGGUGAUAGCCCCGUACACUAAAAUGCACAGGUCGUGAGUUCGAUGAGUAGGGCGGGACACGUGACAUCCUGUCUGAAUAUGGGGGGACCAUCCUCCAAGGCUAAAUACUCCUGACUGACCGAUAGUGAACCAGUACCGUGAGGGAAAGGCGAAAAGAACCCCGGCGAGGGGAGUGAAAUAGAACCUGAAACCGUGUACGUACAAGCAGUGGGAGCACCUUCGUGGUGUGACUGCGUACCUUUUGUAUAAUGGGUCAGCGACUUAUAUUUUGUAGCAAGGUUAACCGUAUAGGGGAGCCGUAGGGAAACCGAGUCUUAACUGGGCGAAUAGUUGCAAGGUAUAGACCCGAAACCCGGUGAUCUAGCCAUGGGCAGGUUGAAGGUUGGGUAACACUAACUGGAGGACCGAACCGACUAAUGUUGAAAAAUUAGCGGAUGACUUGUGGCUGGGGGUGAAAGGCCAAUCAAACCGGGAGAUAGCUGGUUCUCCCCGAAAGCUAUUUAGGUAGCGCCUCGUGAACUCAUCUUCGGGGGUAGAGCACUGUUUCGGCUAGGGGGCCAUCCCGGCUUACCAAACCGAUGCAAACUCCGAAUACCGAAGAAUGUUAUCACGGGAGACACACGGCGGGUGCUAACGUCCGUCGUGAAGAGGGAAACAACCCAGACCGCCAGCUAAGGUCCCAAAGUCAUGGUUAAGUGGGAAACGAUGUGGGAAGGCACAGACAGCCAGGAUGUUGGCUUAGAAGCAGCCAUCAUUUAAAGAAAGCGUAAUAGCUCACUGGUCGAGUCGGCCUGCGCGGAAGAUGUAACGGGGCUAAACCAUGCACCGAAGCUGCGGCAGCGACGCUUAGGCGUUGUUGGGUAGGGGAGCGUUCUGUAAGCCGUUGAAGGUGGCCUGUGAGGGUUGCUGGAGGUAUCAGAAGUGCGAAUGCUGACAUAAGUAACGAUAAAGCGGGUGAAAAGCCCGCUCGCCGGAAGACCAAGGGUUCCUGUCCAACGUUAAUCGGGGCAGGGUGAGUCGACCCCUAAGGCGAGGCUGAAAAGCGUAGUCGAUGGGAAACAGGUUAAUAUUCCUGUACUUGGUGUUACUGCGAAGGGGGGACGGAGAAGGCUAGGCUAGCCGGGCGACGGUUGUCCCGGUUUAAGCGUGUAGGGGGUGUGACCUGGUAAAUCCGGUUGCAUACUAACCCUGAGGCGUGAUGACGAUGCACUACGGUGCAGAAGUAGUUGAUGCCCUGCUUCCAGGAAAAUCCUCUAAGCUCCAGGUAACAUUNNNNNNNNNNNNNNNNNNNNNNNNNNNNNNNNNNNNNNNNNNNNNNNNNNNNNNNNNNNNNNNNNNNNNNNNNNNNNNNNNNNNNGAAGCCAGUCGAAGAUACCAGCUGGCUGCAACUGUUUAAUAAAAACACAGCACUGUGCAAACACGAAAGUGGACGUAUACGGUGUGACGCCUGCCCGGUGCUGGAAGGUUAAUUGAUGGGGUCAGCCGCAAGGCGAAGCUCUUGAUCGAAGCCCCAGUAAACGGCGGCCGUAACUAUAACGGUCCUAAGGUAGCGAAAUUCCUUGUCGGGUAAGUUCCGACCUGCACGAAUGGCGUAAUGAUGGCCAGGCUGUCUCCACCCGAGACUCAGUGAAAUUGAACUCGCUGUGAAGAUGCAGUGUACCCGCGGCAAGACGGAAAGACCCCGUGAACCUUUACUAUAGCUUGACACUGAACAUUGAGCCUUGAUGUGUAGGAUAGGUGGGAGGCUUUGAAGCGUGGACGCCAGUCUGCGUGGAGCCAUCCUUGAAAUACCACCCUUUAAUGUUUGAUGUUCUAACUCUGCCCCAUAAUCUGGGGUGAGGACAGUGUCUGGUGGGUAGUUUGACUGGGGCGGUCUCCUCCCAAAGAGUAACGGAGGAGCACGAAGGUUAGCUAAUCACGGUCGGACAUCGUGAGGUUAGUGCAAAGGCAUAAGCUAGCUUGACUGCGAGAGUGACGGCUCGAGCAGGUACGAAAGUAGGUCUUAGUGAUCCGGUGGUUCUGAAUGGAAGGGCCAUCGCUCAACGGAUAAAAGGUACUCCGGGGAUAACAGGCUGAUACCGCCCAAGAGUUCAUAUCGACGGCGGUGUUUGGCACCUCGAUGUCGGCUCAUCACAUCCUGGGGCUGAAGUAGGUCCCAAGGGUAUGGCUGUUCGCCAUUUAAAGUGGUACGCGAGCUGGGUUUAGAACGUCGUGAGACAGUUCGGUCCCUAUCUGCCGUGGGCGUUGGAAGAUUGAGAGGGGUUGCUCCUAGUACGAGAGGACCGGAGUGAACGCACCACUGGUGUUCGGGUUGUCAUGCCAAUGGCAUUGCCCGGUAGCUAAGUGCGGAAAAGAUAAGCGCUGAAAGCAUCUAAGCGCGAAACUUGCCUCAAGAUGAGUCUUCCCUGGGCCUUUAAGGCCCCUGAAGGAACGUUUAAGACUAAGACGUUGAUAGGCUGGGUGUGUAAGUGCAGCGAUGCAUUGAGCUAACCAGUACUAAUGAUCCGUGAGGCUUAACCUUACAACACCGAAGGUGUUUUAG